AUUGAACGCUGGCGGCAGGCUUAACACAUGCAAGUCGAGCGAGCGGCGGACGGGUGAGUAAUGUCUGGGAAACUGCCUGACGGAGGGGGAUAACUACUGGAAACGGUAGCUAAUACCGCAUAGCACCAGAGGGGACCAGAUGGGAUUAGCUAGGGGGUGGGGUAAUGGCUCACUUAGGGGACGAUCCCUAGCUGGUCUGAGAGGAUGACCAGCCACACGGGAACUGAGACACGGUCCAGACUCCUACGGGAGCCAGCAGUGGGGAAUAUUGCACAAUGGGCGCAAGCCUGAUACAGCCAUGCCGCGUGUGUGAAGAAGGCCUUCGGGUUGUAAAGCACUUUCAGCGAGGAGGCGUUACUCGCAGAAGAAGCACCGGCUAACUCCGUGCCAGCAGCCGCGGUAAUUC
rnacentral:rRNA from 1 species